rnacentral:lncRNA from 13 species
UGUUUUUAAAAAUGCAUUAGUCUCUAAAAUCACAUAGAAAACAAAAUGUGGAGUCGCAAACCAAAGUUACAACAAUACUAGCUUUUAGACUAAUAAUUGUAUUUUAUACUGGAAAUUUUAUAAUCAUUUUUACUUCUAUAUAAAUUUUUUCAAAAGCAGCAUUUUGGUUUAGAGAGAAGAAAGAAGACAAGGAAACUUUUUUAAAGACUAAGAAGGACACCCUUGUAAUUCCAGCACUUUGGGAGGCCAAGGCAGGUGGAUCACGAGGUCAAGAGAUCGAAACCAUCCUGGCCAACAUGGUGAAACCCCCUCUACUAAAAAAUGCAAAAACUAGCUGGGCUUGGUGGUGUGCACCUGUAGUCCCAGCUACUCAGGAGGCUGAGGCAGGAGUAUUGCUUGAACCUGGGAGGCGGAGGUUGCAGUGAGCCGAGAUCGUGCCACUGCACUCUAGCAUGGCGCUUGGCGACAGAGCAAGACUGUCUCAAAGAAAAAAAAAAGACUAAGAAAGAAAAGGAGGAAGGGGUAGGAGAAGGAAAAGGACAAAAGGAAGAGCAAAAACCUGCGUAUUUAUCUCAGUCUCAAUUUCAGAACAGUCCCUGCUUUCUCUGGACCUUCAAAUUCUAUUUGUCUGUGUGUGACACAAGAGACACAGACAGAUGAAAUUAUUCCAGUGGACGUACUGCUCUGGUUAUGAGCUACAUCCAAACCCUGGCAGCAUGCACCAUUGUUUUUGGAAAUAUGUCACAGCAAUUAUAUCCUUACUCCUCUUGAGCUGCUUCUUCCAUGAGAAAAUUCAAAAUGUUGAAUAUAAACUUUGUUGCUAUUUGAGCUGCAUGGAACAAGAGAAAAUGUCACGGAUUACCCAAGAUAUCAAAUAUAACAUGAGACCACCAUGUAAAGCUGCAACGUCAAAGGACUACACACUCAUCUCAGGAUGCUAAAAAUAAACAUCUACCAUAAAACA